CAAGUGUUUUAACACGUCAUACAACUACAGAGAGAAUCAUAAUAUACGACGCAUCAAUCGGGUUCCACUUCGUCUUCACCAUCUAGGUUCUUCGUGAUGUCCGUUACGGUGAGCUCAAUCAAUGGUGCUCUUUGAUUCCUUCUUUAUAGUUUCGUUCCACCUCCCUCUUUUUAUCCUCAUAUAUAUCGAUUGCUCAACAUCUUCGUCUAAACUUACUUGCAAGCAAACCCGAAAACCUCCAGUGAAGAAUCGAAAGCUCUGGCAAUAAAAUCCAAUCGAAAGUCUCAUCUCUCCACCGGCAAGUCUCUGUCGCUUUGUAUUUCAAGGAUAUCUCACCAUGUCCACCAGAAUACGAAUUAGGAUUUCGAAUCUAAAGUUAAGGCGAUGAUCAAUUUCUUUUUUUUCUUCAAUGGUGUUGAUAACCCAAUCAAAGGGCGUCGCCUUUUAGUUUUGAUGUUGAUUCAUUUGAUCCAGUCUUACAGGUUCUUACAAUUUUUUGUUUUGUUUCGAUUAGGUUGAAGUGCGGUAGCGAUUGCUGUAAGGUGUGAAGAUAAGAUGGCUCUCUGAAUGAAAACAUGAAGAAGUGUCAGUAUGCCGUAAGUGGUAAGCUCCAGAAAGAAGGCAAAAAGGUAUACACUUUUGGAUCAUCUUGUGCCUUUACAUGUUGGCUUUACUCAAGAAAAAGAGACUGUAAGUAUUGUAUAUAUAAAAUAACUUACGAACUUUGAACGUAUUGAACUUAGAAUAAAUACUUUCGCCUCUUAAGUUUUGAAUAAAUACUGGUUCUGAAAAGGAUUAAGAUUUGUCUAUCAACUGCAUCAGAUUUUGUACCCUUUUUACUUUUCUAAAAGCUAAGCCCAGCUCAGAAGGAUGGAAUCAUCGAGUGGAGGAAGAUGAGUGUCUUUCAGAGAAUCAGUGGGGGUUCGUGGGCUGUUCCAAGUUUCCAAAUAGUAAGCUGUAAGCAUAAACUCUUAAACUGCAAAGCGCUUUGGAUGGGGAAGGCCAGCUUUACGUACCGCUUCUGAUAUCGCCAGGUUCUCUACGUACAAAGGAUUCAGGAGAGAUUGGUAGAAUACCUACUUAGUGGGCUCGGUGUCUUCUACCGCAUGUGAGAGACAAGAAGGUUAGGCUAGAAGGGAGAUGCAAGUCGACGCCUGAAGCAUUAGGCAUUACAUAAUGAUUCUUCUUUCAGUAAGUGUGUACAUUAAUAGUUCCAUGUUUCAAAAGCAUAGUAUGACUUCACUUAGGGUAGCCAGUACUCCGGCGGAUGAAUAAAUGUUUUAUCCUCUCCCACACUCCUUGCGGUUGCUCGGUUUGACACCCUUUAAACAGGUAAUGGAUUGUCCAUUACUGUAACUCUAAGAUUUUCUGAAUGUUUGACAGGUUGCAGUUUGCAAUUCCUAUAUACUUACAUAUUUUGUUGUGAUUGCAAAUUUUUGAGAUGGUGAAUUAGAAUUAUUACAGUUCAAAAGGAUCCACUUAUUUAACAAGAAACAUGAGAAGGUCGGCCAUAGUCCGUAGAAUAAAAGAUAAGUUACAAAAUACAUUUGACUUAUAAGAAUAGAGAAACAUGACAUGUCAUGUAAUUCAACUGACGUACUCUUUAGACCUGAAUAUGUUCAAUAAAUAUUACAAGGAUGUUGUAUAGCUUGGGAGGAAGAGGAGAGAAACAUGAUGUCUUCUGCUGGCUAAGAUUAUGAACAUUGAUAAUCUUUAUUAGAUGCUUAUUUCUUGGAAAAUGUUUUAAAAGAUGUUUUAAUAUAGGUAAAUACUUAUUGCUGGAUCAUGUUUAGAAGUAUAUAUAAGUCUUCCGAGAGAAAAUUACAUUUACAAUUUCACUGUUGUUUUACUGUCAUGAGAUAACUUUUAUGACAAUUGUAUGCAUAUAAUUAAAAUCGCACAACUUCUUUAUGUUUUCCAA